AUAUUUAUGACGGUCCCUAUUAAAGAAUUUGUCGUCUGGAAGUAAGUGAAAAAGAAAAACACGCGAGAUAUCUCUCUCACACUUGGUUGUCGCGAACAACCCUAGAUCGUCAUCUCUCUCUCUCUCUCUCUCUCUCUCUCUCUCUCUCUCACUGAUGAAUCGCGAAUUUGAACCCUAGCCUCCAAUCCCUUUCACUGAAUCACAAAUUAGUUUCCAAUUGAACCAAUUAGUUUUGUGAUUUAGGAAAAUCCAUCUCUUUUCUCCUCCCUCAUGUAGCUUGAAGCAAAGCCACUCUGCACCUAAAUUCCUUUCCCUACUGUCGUAGAUGUUUCUUCACCAACGAUUCAUUCUGCUCCGUGGUUCAUCAGGCUUCUACUCUUAUGGAAUUUAUGAGCAUUUACAUGGAUGGCCAGAUUUUGAUAUGAGUGAAACAAGGAUCACUUUCAAGCUUAGAAAAGACAAGUAAUCUGCUUUUUUCUUUUCCUUUUUAUAAAUUGUGUGUGUCUAUGUGUGUGUGUGUGUGGCUGGGUGUGUUUGUCAGAGAGAGAGAGAGGUUGGGACUGUUCAAAUCGGAGGAGAUCAAUUUAAAGCCUCUGCAAGUGGUAACUUUUCUCUUGAAAACCUCUUAAACUUAUAGUGUAUAUAAUUGAAUUUUUUGGAAUAUGACAAGUAAUAGGUUUUGUGCAGGUUGUAUCUUAUUACUUAUAUAAUAUAAUGUCAUGAGUUUGCUAGUGCUAUUUUUUCCUUGCCACUUUUUUGUUUUCUUGUCGUCAAUCAUAAUGUUUUUAAGCAGGUGGUUCAAACAUGGUUAAAGUUCUGGCCAUUGAAGCAUGAUUUCAAUGAAAAUAUAUAUGCACAUGGACUGCUUGUUAAAUUGAUACAAAGAUUUUAUCUGGACCUAACCGCCUGGGAACUGAGGAAGCUAUUAUUGUGAUGAUUGACUUCAUGGAAAAGCACGGUGGAAUGGGAAUUGGAACUGAGGAAGCAUCAAGCGCAACUAUACCUUCCUCUAUUUAUUAGGCUUCAAAUUGGAACUGAAGGAGGUGCAUGAUUUAUUGCUAUUAAAUUGAAUAGUAAAAUAUACAACAUUUGUGUUAAAAAAA